rnacentral:rRNA from 1 species
GAUGAACGCUGGCGGCGUGCCUAACACAUGCAAGUCGUACGAGCUCGAUCUUCGGAACGGGUUAGUGGCGCACGGGUGAGUAACACGUAGGUGACCUACCCCAGAGUGGGGGAUAACUUCUCGAAAGAGAGGCUAAUACCGCAUACACUCGGUCAUUCAUUUGGCCGAGCAAAGCUCCGGCGCUUUGGGACGGGCCUGCGUCCGAUUAGCUAGUUGGUAGGGUAAUGGCUUACCAAGGCUUUGAUCGGUAGCUGGUCUGAGAGGACGAUCAGCCACACUGGCACUGACACACGGGCCAGACUCCUACGGGAGGCAGCAGUGAGGAAUAUUGGGCAAUGGGCGAAAGCCUGACCCAGCAACGCCGCGUGAGGGAUGAAGGCCUUCGGGUUGUAAACCGUCUUUUCUGGGAGAAGAGACAAGGACGGUAUCCCAGGAAUAAAGUCUCGGCUAACUACGUGCCAGCAGCCGCGGU